rnacentral:lncRNA from 1 species
AUGCAGCGGUGCAGGCCCAGGCACUGUGCACAGACGUGGAGUCCCGCAUGCACACACAGUGCACACUCGCACACUCACAAACACAGCCAGGUGUGCACUGUCCCCUCAUGGCUCUUCCUGAGCCCCUGCUCAUACUUGGUGCCAGCCUGCGGCUGCCCCCAGCUCUAUUCUCUGGCUUUUCCUCUGCGAUGGCCUUGUGAGAAUUACAGAGCUGUGGGUUCACCCCGGGGCAGCACCCCUGCUUUGGUGGCUGGCAGGAGUGGGGGCAGGGAUUCUGUGCACAAAUGUGUCCACGGAGCCGUGGUUUUGUGGGCUGGUAAACAUAGGGUCGAGCUUCUCUUUGCUCUCCCUGCCACACUCCUCACUCAGUCUUCCCGUCUUCCCAUGGCUGCUCUCCCCUGCGGGCCAGCCGAGGGAAGGCUCGGCGGAGGGCCCUGUCCUCAGGGUGAUGUGGCAGCUCUGGGGCAUUCGCAGGGGCCCAGGCAGGCGACAUCCCUCAGAUGGAAGCGCGGCUUCACUCAGAUCCUCUCAUGCACCCCAGUGGUCAGUGAGCACAGAGCAUGGGCCCGGUGUGCUGCUGGGGUGGGCCGCGAGGGGGAGGGGUGGUACAGAAAUGAGGAAGACACAGCACCUGUCUCCCCAGAGUGUGUGCGUCUUGGAUGGGGCCUAGGGAAUGUCACCCGGGCAGUGGAACCCCCAAGUGGAGCUCACACACCGUCAGCUAGGCAUGCAGCCCUCACUCCGCCCACCCCUCCUCACCUCCACCAUGCUGCCAGACCUUCCUGUUUGGUUACUAAUGCCACGUGGCAGCCUGAGGGCCACCCCAGGUCCUGCCCUCUCUGUCCCUCUCCAAUCAGUCCUCCUUGUGCUCUAAGGACACUCUUGCCCCAUCCCUGCAGUCCAUACUGCCAGUGCCUUGGCCUCUCUCACCAACUCCCUCCCAGGGGUUGUAAAGGAAGGAGGAAGGGCCUCCCACCUGCAGGCUUAUGCCAUUCAGAUGACUGCCUGGAGCACACUGCUCACCUGUCACUUAGAACCCUUCCCUGGCCCCCUGUUGCCUUAAGGAUGGAGGCCCCAGUGGGGUACACCUCAGAGCUUUCAUGCGUGUUGAUCCUGGUGCCCAGAACACCCUUCCCUCCAAGGCCUUGCAAGGACGUUGCCGUCUUUCCAGGCUGGGGGAGUCCUUCUCAGUCUCCAAUAGGGCACGUUUUACAAGAGUGA